ACGCAGUAGGAUAGGCGAAGCGUGCGAUUGGAUUGCACGUCUAAGCAGUAAGGCUGAGUAUUAGGCAAAUCCGGUACUCAUUAAGGCUGAGCUGUGAUGGGGAGAAGACAUUGUGUCUUCGAGUCGUUGAUUUCACACUGCCGAGAAAAGCCUCUAGAUAGAAAAUAGGUGCCCGUACCGCAAACCGACACAGGUAGUCAAGAUGAGAAUUCUAAGGUGAGCGAGCGAACUCUCGUUAAGGAACUCGGCAAAAUGACCCCGUAACUUCGGGAGAAGGGGUGCUCUUUAGGGUUAACGCCCAGAAGAGCCGCAGUGAAUAGGCCCAAGCGACUGUUUAUCAAAAACACAGGUCUCUGCUAAACCGUAAGGUGAUGUAUAGGGGCUGACGCCUGCCCGGUGCUGGAAGGUUAAGAGGAGUGGUUAGCUUCUGCGAAGCUACGAAUCGAAGCCCCAGUAAACGGCGGCCGUAACUAUAACGGUCCUAAGGUAGCGAAAUUCCUUGUCGGGUAAGUUCCGACCCGCACGAAAGGCGUAACGAUUUGGGCACUGUCUCAACGAGAGACUCGGUGAAAUCAUAGUACCUGUGAAGAUGCAGGUUACCCGCGACAGGACGGAAAGACCCCGUGGAGCUUUACUGUAGCCUGAUAUUGAAAUUCGGCACAGCUUGUACAGGAUAGGUAGGAGCCUUUGAAACGUGAGCGCUAGCUUACGUGGAGGCGCUGGUGGGAUACUACCCUAGCUGUGUUGGCUUUCUAACCCGCACCACUUAUCGUGGUGGGAGACAGUGUCAGGCGGGCAGUUUGACUGGGGCGGUCGCCUCCUAAAAGGUAACGGAGGCGCUCAAAGGUUCCCUCAGAAUGGUUGGAAAUCAUUCAUAGAGUGUAAAGGCAUAAGGGAGCUUGACUGCGAGACCUACAAGUCGAGCAGGGUCGAAAGACGGACUUAGUGAUCCGGUGGUUCCGCAUGGAAGGGCCAUCGCUCAACGGAUAAAAGCUACCCCGGGGAUAACAGGCUUAUCUCCCCCAAGAGUUCACAUCGACGGGGAGGU
rnacentral:rRNA from 1 species